rnacentral:tRNA from 1 species
GCGCGUGUAGCUCAAUGGCAGAGCAUCGAGCUUAUACCUCGAGGGUUCUAGGUUCGAGUCCUAGCACGCGCA